CCUACGGGCGGCAGCAGUGAGGAAUAUUGGUCAAUGGACGAGAGUCUGAACCAGCCAAGUAGUGUGAAGGAUGACUGCCCUAUGGGUUGUAAACUUCUUUUGUAAAGGAAUAAAACGAGGCACGUGUGCCUUUUUGCAUGUACCUGAUGAAUAAGGAUCGGCUAACUCCGUGCCAGCAGCCGCGGUAAUACGGAGGAUCCGAGCGUUAUCCGGAUUUAUUGGGUUUAAAGGGAGCGGAGAUGGGUUGUUAAGUCAGUUGUGAAAGUGUGGGGCUCAACCGUAAAAUUGCAAUUGAAACUGGCAGUCUUGAGUACAGUAGAGGUAGGCGGAAUUCGUGGUGUAGCGGUGAAAUGCUUAGAUAUCACGAAGAACCCCGAUGGCGAAGGCAGCUUACUAGACUGUGACUGACACUGAGGCUCGAAAGUGUGGGUAUCAAACAGGAUUAGAUACCCUUGUAGUC
rnacentral:rRNA from 1 species